GCGCCCGUAGCUCAGUUGGAUAGAGUAUCGGUUUCCGAAGCCGAGGGUCACUGGUUCGAAUCCAGUCGGGCGCGCCA
rnacentral:tRNA from 1 species